rnacentral:rRNA from 1 species
GAUGAACGCUGGCGGCGUGCCUAAUACAUGCAAGUCGAGCGAACGGACGCGAAGCUUGCUUCUCUGAUAUUAGCGGCGGACGGGUGUGUAACACGUGGAUAACAUACCUAUACGACUUGGAUAACUUCGGGAGACCGGAGCUAAAACCGGAUGCUAUUAUGAACCGCAUGGUCCAAGACUGAAAGACGGUGUUGCUGUCACUAAUACAUUGAUCCGCGCUGCAUUCGCUAGUUGGUAAGGUCACGGCUUACCAAGGCAACGAGGCAUAGCCGACAUGAGAGGGUGAUCGGCCACACUGGAAGUGAGACACGGUCCAGACUCCUGCGGGAGGCAGCAGUAGGGAAUCUUCCGCAAUGGGCGAAAGCCUGACGGAGCAACGCCGCGGGAGUGAUGAAGGUCUUCGGAUCGUAAAACUCUGUUAUUAGGGAAGAACAUAUGUGUAAGUAACUGUGCACAUCUUGACGGUACCUAAUCAGAAAGCCACGGCUAACUACGUG